rnacentral:lncRNA from 1 species
GGCCAUUGGAACUAUUAACUCGAACAUCCACAGUUCUUUAUAUAAUUUUAUUAUUUUUGAGUUUCGGAUCUCCAAAUUUCUUGAGUGGCCUUUGGAUUUUGCUAUCGUUUUCCAAGCACAAGAAUAUAUGGGAAAUUCUGGCUCUCGUCGUGGGCUCGAUAUAAGUUCAUGUAUCAGAUUAGGCGGAGGCAGAAACAAAAGAAUAUUAUAGGUAGACAGAAGGGAUAGCACCAGUACUCUUCUGUCGAAUCCAGUUCCGGUUGGAACGCCGCUUGCAGCCGUUGCGCCACCGCCGGUCAGGGCUGAAACUGAACCUUCUACUGGAAUCAAGAGGGUUAAAGUGGUCAUUACAAAGCGGCAGCUUCAGGCGUUAUUAUCAAAGAGAAUAUAUGUUGAAAAAGUCCGAGGAAUAAAAUCAAUAAAUAGAUCAUGUAAUUCAGUUGAUUCUCAGACAAGUUGGAAGCCUGUUCUUAAAUCCAUUCCUGAAGAAAAUGAGUUGUGAUAGGUGAAGUAGAAUUGCAGUGACAUUAAACUGAUUCUGAAUUUCGAAUGCUUUUUUUUUUUCUGCUAAUUAAAUUAGAAUCAGUUUGGUGUCAUUAUAUAACGAUAUAGAUAAUAUGUUGG